rnacentral:rRNA from 1 species
GUCUAUGGCCAUACCACCCUGAAUACACCCCAUCUCAUCUGAGCUUGGAAGCUAAACAGGGUUGGGCCUGGUUAGUAUUUGGAUGGGAGAAAUACACAACAGGAGCCUGGAGU